GCAAGCCAAUCAGUUGUUGCAUUCUAGGAUCCUUCCUAGAAUGCAACAACUGAUUGGCUUGCA
rnacentral:miRNA from 1 species